AUUGAACGCUGGCGGCAGGCCUAACACAUGCAAGUCGAGCGGAUGAAGGGAGCUUGCUCCUGGAUUCAGCGGCGGACGGGUGAGUAAUGCCUAGGAAUCUGCCUGGUAGUGGGGGAUAACGUCCGGAAACGGGCGCUAAUACCGCAUACGUCCUGAGGGAGAAAGUGGGGGAUCUUCGGACCUCACGCUAUCAGAUGAGCCUAGGUCGGAUUAGCUAGUUGGUGGGGUAAAGGCCUACCAAGGCGACGAUCCGUAACUGGUCUGAGAGGAUGAUCAGUCACACUGGAACUGAGACACGGUCCAGACUCCUACGGGAGGCAGCAGUGGGGAAUCUUGGCCCAUGGGCGAAAGCCUGAUCCAGCCAGGCCGCGUGUGUGAAGAAGGUCUUCGGAUUGUAAAGCACUUUAAGUUGGGAGGAAGGGCAGUCAGUUCCUACCUUGCUGUUUUGACGUUACCAACAGAAUAAGCACCGGCUAACUUCGUG
rnacentral:rRNA from 1 species